rnacentral:SRP_RNA from 1 species
GCCAGGCGUGGUGGCUCACGCCUGUAAUCCCAGUACUUUGGGAGGCUGAGGUGGGUGGAUCACCUGAGGUCAGGAGUUCGAGACCAGCCUGGCCAACAUGGCGAAACCCCAUCUCUA